GGCCCCAUGGUGUAGCGGUAGCACUUUGGAUUCCAAAUCCAAUAACGGCGGUUCGAUUCCGUCUGGGGUCA